CCCCGCAUCGCUUAACGGCAAAGCGCAUCGCUAGCUGCAUGAGGGAGGCAUGAGGCUGCCCUGUCAGUCAGGUGUCUGCAACCGUGCAGCGAGCGGUGAGAUCUCCGGUUCGACUCCGGGUGCGGGGA